UAUACUUCAAUUUCGGUCAAAAGUCUUUAGAGAAAGUAGGGAAUGUAUCUAGACACCUUUUGAGCUUUUUCUUGUUGUCCACACUUCUUCUUUCCUUAACUUCCCCUAGAAAAUCUCUUCGCGUAAUCUUUUAUUUUCUUCUUGAUUUUCACACUAUUAAUGCUCAAGUCCGGCGGUAGCCGAUUCCUUGCUUAACGCGGGUCCGGCGGGCGGACCGCUACUCCUAGGAUUAGGUGAUUCCUGUUAGCUGCAACACGAUAGAUAGGGCGUCAGAGGGAGACCGCGUUGGGCGGUCUUCACUUCUCUGAUGCCUAAGUCAGUCACUGUAUAUGCGCAGCAUAACAAUAAAUGAGUAGUAAUUGCGUAAUUAAUGAGGAGAGAGGAGAGAACCUUUUAUAGGUGAGGAAGAGGUUGAUCUUCUUCUUGUUUCCGAUGUGGGACUGAUGUGCUUCGAUUCCCAGCGUCUGGAGCUUCUGAUGCUAUCGGUAAUCUGGGGGCGAUCCAGGGCUCGAGCGGUAGCCCGCCUGGCCGUGACUUAGCAGGUCAUCCCCCUGGUGAGAGUCGGUACCUCUGGCGAUGCAAUGAGCGUGGCUCAUUAUAGCUAAUUAUGCUCGUUCUAGCAUAUGUAGGUACAAGUCCCCCAAGUCCCCAGUCAAGGAGGGCAAUCUUGGUGGGGGAGUUGAUCGGCGGUGUGAAGCGUUACUUCCGCUAGACUUGCAACAGCAUAAUUAGCGUCAGUGCGUUGUCAACCAUGGAUUUACUGAUCAAACGCUUUAUACCCUUUCAGGUGGGCCCUUGCCAGGCCCGCCAGGGAGUCCCCUACUCCCUAGCCAAGACGGACCUCCGGAUGGUCGGCAAAUUGUUUGUUGAGGGGAAGCUGCGCGGAGCAGAGGGUGUUGGGUAGCGAGCCCAAUCUUAGUACCCAAGUGGCGGGGGUCAACGUACCUGAUCAGGGUCAUCGUAGACUGUUGACAAGUCCCCGUGUCCAGUAGGGAUGAUCUGACUGUAACGCCGCGUGGCGGUCGUUGUCAGAAUGAGGCGUAGCCUCGGGAUCCGCCGCUGGCGGAUACCCCCCGCUGGAUGUAGCAAGAAACAGCGUCGGGUAGACAUGUUCGGCGGUGGUUACUGAUCAGAACUGCGCUCAGCAACGCACGGGGUUUGCAAGGUGGGGGCGGUUCUGCCGGCAGUGCCAUGUAUAGCCUAGGUUGCCCCUUGCAAAUUGUCAAGUGGAAGUCUAGCGGGAAUUCGCUCAGCGGACUUCGAUACUUGGAAGAUGACAAGUGAGAAGUUCCGCUAGCGGGGUUUCGCUCAGCGGACUUCGAUACUUGGAAGAUGACAAGUGAGAAGUUCCGCUAGCAGGGUUUCGCUCAACGGACUUCGAUACUUGGAAGAUGUCGAGUGAGAAGUUCCGCUAGCGGAGUUUCGCUUAGCGGACUUCGAUACUUGGAGCCUUUCUCCCAAAAGUUGUGGCUUCUGUCGGACGCUUCACCUGAUGGUGGUGGACACGUGGCAAACCCCUAAAGGGUUAGCGUGCGGAGGCGUGCCUCCUUCGCCGAGCCGUCUCCUCGCCAUUAAUGCUGAGUAAUGAUGGAUCUCGUAACCGAGGCGACGCCUCGGUUAAUCCGGAGAGUAACUGCAGCUGUGGGACACACGUACGGCUGGCAGUCG
rnacentral:lncRNA from 1 species